CAGAAAAGAAGAAGAACUACACACCCCAGAGGUCUCUGUGUUCAGAGGGGAGAUAAAAUCCCUGGCAAAGUCAUGGGAACUGGAUCUCUUCCCUUCUCCUUGUACCGACCGCACGUCUUGCCUCAGCAUUAGAAUACUGGUUGCAGCAGCUUACUGGGCAGCGCUCUGGGCUUUUUAAUUUAUUCCUCUGGAGAUCUCAUUGUGGAGUAGAUUGAUACCUAUUUUUUCAGUAGUUCUUCUAGGAACCCCCUUGAGAGACAUCAGAUCUUUUAGUAGCUUACUAGCUGACAACCAGCCUGAUGAGUUGAAGACAUGAUCCCCAAUCAACAGAAAACUUUUGAUUUGUUGAAGAUUGUUAUUUGUCUUCAAAGACCUGGAAAGCCAGACAAAGUCUUCCAGGAAGUAAUAGACUUUUGAAAGCUUCAGUAGAUGGUAAUCAAGAGCAUACCAAAUGAUCACUGAACCACAAGUUCAUAGGAGCAUGUGAGAUACUUUAACUGAUCUGUAUGGCAUGUUUGUCAUGCUGAAGUUAAAGAAUACUGGUUCAUUUUACUGGAGAACUGUUAAGUAAUAUGUUCAUAUAAAUCUUCAUGGCUGCUGAAAGGUAGCUUGUCUUUUAUGUCACCGCCACGACUGCUGAAACACACCACCCACUGCCUCACUGUGCUCACAUCCUCUCUUUGGUCUCCAUAAAUGUUCAGCAAGUGUCAGUAAACAUCAACAGGUGCAAUUUUUUCUGCACAAAGGAAUUCAAUUACACAUCUUUGCUUCACAUACCCUUCUGUGUCAGAUACCAUUUUGUCAAAUUGCCAUCUAUUGCAUGUAAUUGCAAAAUAUAAUGGAAUAUUGGUGAGAAUGUUCAGCCUCUACUGCCAUCUCACCAACAUCCAAUUCUGGCAUCAGGGGCCAACAUAAUAAGAUAAGAGGCAUUACUUUUGGAACAGCCCUUGUAUAUGGUCUUCUACAGAUGUCAAAUCUCCAUAACUGAGGUAAGAUUUUAGGAAAGCAUAAAGCUUGCCACCAGAUGAAAAAGCAAGUCAUAUAAACAGGGUUUGGAGCAAUAUAUUACUGUUGACUAGACACAAACAGAGGUAUGUAAAUGCUGCAAACAUAAAAGCUAUUUCCUUCUUCCUGUGGCGGUUGAUUUUACAAAGUGCUUUCAUUAUUGUACUGCAUUUCUAUAUGAUAUUUGCUGCUGGAAUACUUUCUACUGUUCUACUGUUGUUGUUUUCCCUUUCUCUGUUUCUUUUUCUCUUUAAAUAACAAGAAUUAGAACACUGUUGUAAUUCUGAGAAGAACCAAACAUAUCUGUCUUACAAAUGGAAAUAAAA